UCCAGAUAUUUAUGUUUUACUCAAAUAGAUUUAUUUAUUUGUCAUGUUUUAUAAUUAUUGUAUUUAAAUUUCAGAUUAUCAGGAUGAAAAGGCUACUGAAGAAUCUCAAUUUAUUGACAUGCAUGUAGGUCAGAGUCAAUAGAUGCCUAGGCUCAAAAUGGGACCCAUUUCCAUUGAGUAUAACGUGGAUCCCUGCACAAGGAUAUACGUGAAGACCAGAAUGGUAGCAGUCACGUAUAAAAUAUAUCUAUGAUAUGAUACUUCUGUAAUUCCAUACAAAUUUUGAUUGCUCAAGUAAUUUUAUAAAGUAAUUUACAGAAAUAAAUAACUUUUUAAGAA